rnacentral:lncRNA from 1 species
UUGGAAAUUCUGAGCAUUUCCACCCAUGUUACCAGACCAUCCUUGAUUCGGUGGACCUGGUGGCAUCCCACCCAUGUUGUUAGGAGGCGGCAUUCCUCCCAUAUUGUUAGAAGGCGGCAUUCCUCCUCCCAUGUUGUUAGGAGGCGGCAUUCCUCCCAUAUUGUUAGAAGGUGGCAUUCCUCCUCCCAUGUUGUUCCGCGGUGGCAUUCCUCCCAUAUUGUUAGGAGGCGGCAUUCCUCCUCCCAUGUUGUUCCGCGGUGGCAUUCCUCCCAUAUUGUUAGGAGGCGGCAUUCCUCCCCCCAUAUUGUUGGCUGGCAUACCUCCCCUAUUGUUGUAAGGCAUUCCUCCCAUGUUGUUAGGAGGUGGAUUUCCAGCUGUAUUAGGAGCAGCAUUCUGCAUACCCUGGUUUGGAGGAG